rnacentral:misc_RNA from 1 species
GGAAGCCAUCCUGAUACGAUCCCAGAAGAAAAGAAAAAGAAAAUGCCUCCUUCGGUAGACUAGGAUUUCCCAUUUUCUUAUUCUAUUGUCAAUUGUUCCCUCUCAUUGACAUCUGAACCAAGGCUCGAAGCAAUCCUUUCGAAGGCAACACACAAAACUAAGCACAGUAAUACUUCAGCCGUGAAAAAAUUCUCACUAGGCCAUGGGCAAUGACUCACCACGGCCUCCCUCCUCGAUUGGAAUUGAAGGCUUUGAAAAACGCCUUGAAAUCAUCUUCACUGAAUCACCAAUUUUCAAGAAUCCUACAGUGACAGGCCUACGCUCCUUGACUUGGUCCCAACUGGACUCAAUCCUCGAGCCCGCUUGUAGCAGCAUCGUAGCACAGCUCUCCAACACUGAGUUGGACUCCUACAUCCUCUUCGAGUCGACCUGUUCAUUUUGCCAUUGAAAAUAGUAAUCAAAACUUGCGAAAUUACAAAUCUGCUCUUAUCCAUUGAACAGAUUCUGAAACUCGCUGAAUCGCUGUCACUCAUUGCAUCUGACGUUAAAUACUCUAGAGGCAACUUCAUUUUCCCAAAUUACCAACCUGCCCCUGACCGGAGCUUCUCCAAAGAGGGUUCUGCUUUGAAAGAGUUCUUCGAGUGUUUAAACGCUGAGGCCUAUGUCCUCCUUGGUAAUCCAAAUCACAAAUGGCACAUUUAUUCUGCUUCAAGGAAAGAUCGGACGGAUAUGAUCACUGUUGAGAUGUGCAAGACUUCGUUGGACCAAAAGAAAGCGGCCGUGUUUUUUAAGAGAUUGGCGGAUUAUUCGGCUAAGGAUUUGAGCAGAAAUUCCGGCAUAUCUGAAAUUUUACGGAGUCACGUGAUAUGCGACUUUGUCUUUGACCCUUGUAGGCAUUCAAUGAAUGGGAUUCGUGGUUGAGGAUUCUCAACGGUGCACGUGACCCUGGAGGAUGGUUUCAGUUACGCUAGC